UUUUUCAUGGAUUUUCGGCUGUUUUUUCUUGAUUUUAAGCAGCCUUUUGAUGGGUCGGGUCCUAAUGGAUAGACAAUAUGGUUCAUCACUCAUGGUUCCACUAAAUUCCACUAAAUGGGACAAUGUGCCACCGUUUGAAAAGUAAUCUCUUCAUCUCCACGCUUCCAUUCACCUCCUCCAAUGAUUCCUUUCCUCUAAUGCUUCCUUACUUUCUCAAUACACUACCUCCAUCACCUCUCUCUACCUAACAACCCAAUAUAUCAACAUUUGCCCGUUUCGCCACCGCUCCUCUAUAAUUGAUCAAUUGAUGGGUUUCUUUGCAGAUAAGAAGCAUAAUCGUUGUUUCAUAUUGAUGCCCUAACUCCAUACCACCGGUUUUCUAUGAACUGUUUGCUCCCCAUAUUCUAAUUUAGGUUUUGAUAACUGAUAAUCCAUUUCGGACCUUCACUCUGACGCUCUUAUCUUCCCUGGCUUUCUUUGGAUGGUAUGACUGCUCCUUAUUUUCAGUUCUUCAUUUCGCUCUCUGCAAACCUUGUCUCUUAGUUAAGCCAUUAAUCCAAAUUUAAAUCUAUACCUACAUCUUCGUCCAACCAUCUAGGUUUUGUUGAGGAUUGGAACACCACACAAUUAUAAGGUAAAUGCAUCAACUUUUUUUCCAAUUUACAACUCUCCCUUUGAUAUAUUGAAGGUCAAUUUUUAUUUCCUAGAUUUACGCGUUCUGAUUUUGAUUGCCUAGAUUUGCUGGUUCUCAUUUUUAUAUUGAUUUUAGUUUUGGAAUCUCUUUUGACAAUCUAUGGUUUCAUAUUAAAAGCAAAUUAGAGAGAGACGAGUCUACCACUGGUAAGAAAUUGUUUCAGUAGUAGGUUUUGGAAUUGUGAUAACUACAAAUUGUGUUAAUGGAUGUAAACUGUAAGUUCAAUUUUUGUUCAUUGUUUGUCCAUGCAAUAUUCUGUAAGUUGUAUUUUGACCUUUUUUUUUUUUAUUUUUUUCUAUUUUGUAUAUUUAUGUUAUUGUUACAACCUGCAUGUGUUUGAUUUCACAUGAUUAUCCGCAAAAUUGAAUAUGUUUUUCUUUCAUUAGCUAUUUACUCGGAUCAUUAUCCUCAAAAUUAUGCUAUUUCCUAUAUUGGAACGGAUAUCAGUCAACCAGAAAUACAUGCUCAUGCACAGACGAAGUUACAAGGUGACAAACUAUAAGGUGGGACCACCUUUCUGUGGCUAUAGAGGUAAUGAUCUGCAUUAUGCAAUUUUUUACAAAGAUUGUUAUUAUACAGCCGAUAAAAAAGAAUUUUGCUCUGUUUUGUGGCAUUCCAAAUCGAAAAUUGCUAUAUGCCAAGUUUUUUGGUGCAUUUUUCUUAGGUUGGACAAUUUUAAAUUAUAAUAUAGAUAAAUGCUUUAAUAAAAAAAGGUUUGUGAUUUUUUAAUAUGUGGAAUAAAUUUGUUUUGUUUGAGUUUUAGUUUUACCUGAUAUUUAAGAUUGCAUUAUUUUUUUUUUUGUGAAUAAGAAAUAAUUUAAAUGGGACUUAUUUGUGAAUAUAUUUAUUGUAAUUACAUGCGAUUUUAUGUUAACCAUAAAAGUGAAAUAGAAAUCAAUUGGUUUUAAAUACCAUGUUAGGGGCUUUGAAUAAAAUUUGUUGUAAUCACGAGAAGCACUAGAGAAACUACUACUUAAUGAUGUUGGAUUAAAGGUAAAUAUGGCCUGGUUGAUUAAGAUUUGUAGUGAUGAUUAUGCUACACUAUAUUUUUCUCUAAUUUUAUGAUGAUAAACUGCAUUUGUUACAUUUCCUUUUUUGUUAGACUAUUCAAUUUGGAAACAACCCUUUGACAUGUCAUUUAUUAAUAUUACAUCACUGCAUUUUCAAAAAAGAAAAUUAUAGACAAUGUACUUUAGUUUUUACCUGAUGGCAAUGUAUUUCAAUUUUCUUUUCCAUAAUAAAAAUUUACUUUCACUAGAUUUUUUUCCCAAUAUUAUCUUUAACUAAAACCUUACACCACUCGUGGGUCGUGCUUAGCACGACCUUUAGAUGUCCCUAGUAUAUAUAUAUAUAU